UACGUAGGCAGCGAGCGUUGUUCGGAGUUACUGGGCGUAAAGGGUGUGUAGGCGGUUCUUUUUAAGUUUGGUGUGAAAUCUCCCGGCUCAACCGGGAGGGUGCGCCGAAUACUGAGGGACUUGGAGUGCGGGAGAGGAAAGUGGAAUUCCUGGUGUAGCGGUGAAAUGCGUAGAUAUCAGGAGGAACACCGGUGGUGUAGACGGCUUUCUGGACCGUAACUGACGCUGAGACACGAAAGCGUGGGUAGCAAACAGG
rnacentral:rRNA from 1 species